AUCGCUUCUCGGCCUUUUGGCUAAGAUCAAGUGUGGAAUCUGUGAAUCUAUAAGUCCUUUAAAACCAGAUUAGCCUUUGUACAUUGUAUGUUUUUUUCCUAAUACCUCAAGACUACAAGACUGCUAACUAUAGCUAAAAUUCUGAGGUGCUUCUCCUAUUUAAUUUAUGAUAUGAUGAUGCUUUUUUAU